ACUUCCUGUCCCCGCGGCUCUGUGUCCCCUGCUAGCCGUAGGUCGUGUGACCCGCAGGCACCGGGAGAUCCAGAAGUGAAACGCCAGGCUCUCUGGAGGCCAGGAGAUGGCACAGACACCUUACCAGAAUGUCUUUGGUUUGAGGUUCCACUUUGGAAACUUGACAGGGUGAUUUGCUCUCAGCCACCCUCUGGACUUUUUCCUCAGUUUCAGUAUUGUCCAGGGAUAACACAGGAUGCCCACCAUGGCCAUGUCUGCUGGAGCAUCUAGUGAAUUUCAGGCCCUGGGUUAUUUCUCAGAGGACAGCCUGAGGUAUGAAGUGUGGCCUCUCCAGGGAGCAGCUGGAUGCCCUGGGCUGAGAGAAAUCUCCUGGUCUACUCUUCCUCUAAAGAGGUGUGAUUUGUCCAGAGAAUCUUUCCUAAGAGGAAAUCCCAGAGAAGCAGGAGAAAGAGAAAGAAAUGGCUGGUGCUCAGACUCUGUUGACGUUCAGGGAUGUGGCCAUAGAAUUCUCCCUGGAGGAGUGGAAAUGCCUGGACCUCGCUCAGCAGAAUUUGUACAGGGAUGUGAUGUUGGAGAACUACAGAAACUUGUUCUCCGUUGGUCUCACUGUCUGUAAGCCAGGCCUGAUCACCUGCCUGGAGCAACGAAAAGAGCCCUGGAAUGUGAAGAGACAGGAGGCAGCAGACGGACAUCCAGCUAUGUCUUCUCAUUUUACCCAAGACCUUCUGCCAGAGCAGGGCAUACAAGAUGCAUUCCCAAAAAGAAUACUGAGAGGAUAUGGAAAUUGUGGCCUUGAUAAUUUAUAUUUAAGGAAAGACUGGGAAAGUUUAGAUGAGUGUAAGUUGCAAAAAGAUUAUAAUGGACUUAACCAAUGUUCAUCAACUACCCAUAGCAAAAUCUUUCAAUAUAAUAAAUAUGUUAAAAUCUUUGAUAACUUUUCAAAUUUACAUAGACGUAAUAUAAGUAAUACUGGAGAGAAACCUUUCAAAUGUCAAGAAUGUGGCAAAUCCUUUCAAAUGCUCUCAUUCCUAACUGAACAUCAGAAAAUUCACACUGGAAAAAAAUUCCAAAAAUGUGGAGAAUGUGGCAAAACCUUUAUCCAGUGCUCACACUUUACUGAACCUGAGAACAUUGACACUGGAGAGAAACCUUACAAGUGUCAAGAAUGUAACAACGUCAUUAAAACUUGCUCAGUCCUUACUAAAAAUAGAAUUUAUGCCGGAGGGGAACAUUACAGAUGUGAAGAAUUUGGCAAAGUAUUUAACCAGUGCUCCCACCUUACUGAACAUGAGCAUGGUACUGAGGAAAAACCCUGCAAAUAUGAAGAGUGCAGCAGUGUCUUUAUCUCUUGCUCAAGCCUUUCUAAUCAACAGAUGAUUCUUGCUGGAGAGAAGCUCUCCAAAUGUGAAACAUGGUACAAAGGUUUUAACCACAGCCCAAAUCCUUCCAAACACCAGAGAAAUGAGAUUGGAGGGAAACCUUUCAAAUGUGAGGAAUGUGACAGCAUCUUCAAGUGGUUCUCAGACCUUACUAAACAUAAGAGAAUUCACACUGGUGAGAAACCAUACAAAUGUGACGAAUGUGGGAAAGCCUAUACACAGUCCUCACACCUCAGUGAACACAGGAGGAUUCACACCGGAGAGAAACCCUACCAAUGUGAAGAAUGUGGGAAGGUCUUCAGAACUUGCUCAAGCCUUUCUAACCAUAAGAGAACUCAUUCUGAAGAAAAACCCUACACGUGUGAAGAAUGUGGCAACAUCUUUAAGCAGUUAUCAGACCUCACUAAGCAUAAGAAAACCCAUACUGGAGAGAAGCCCUACAAAUGUGACGAAUGUGGAAAAAACUUUACCCAGUCCUCCAACCUUAUUGUACAUAAGAGAAUUCAUACUGGAGAGAAACCCUACAAGUGUGAAGAAUGUGGCAGAGUCUUCAUGUGGUUCUCAGACAUUACCAAACAUAAGAAAACCCAUACUGGAGAGAAACCCUACAAAUGUGACGAAUGUGGAAAAAACUUUACCCAGUCCUCAAACCUUAUUGUACAUAAGAGAAUUCAUACUGGAGAGAAACCCUACAAGUGUGAAAAGUGUGGCAAAGCCUUCACCCAGUUCUCACACCUGACUGUACAUGAAAGCAUUCAUACUUGAGAAAAAAAUAAACAAAUAUAAAAAUAGGCAAAGCCGUUAGUAUCUGCUCGCAUCCCACUUUACAUCAGAGUUCAGACUUAAUAAAGUUAUCAUAAAUGUAAUUACUAUUGAAAGACCUUUCAUGAAAUAUAAGUCUCCAGAGCACACAAGAGUAUUUCUUCUGAAAAAAAUGUUACAAUUAUACUAGAUGGAAGACUUGCAUCAGUUGCUUAAACUUUCAGAAAAUUUGUAGAGAAACCCAACAAAUCUCAUAAAUGUGGAAUAACAUUUGUUCAAAAAUGAUAGCUUAGAAAACACUAGAGUUCAUACUAAAAGAUAUUUUGCAAAUACACUAAAUGGGAAAAAUAAGCAAGGACACGUUCAGAAAUGACACUGAAUCCCUGUGUUGAGUCUACAGAGACAUCUAGACUUAAAAUAGAUCAUUUAUAUUUAAGUUUAAAAGGAGGAUGAGACUGAGUUUUUGUAGAGUUAUAAUUACAUUCAAAAUAUACUUUUUUGCAUUGAAAAAAUGUUAAAUUUUUGAAAAGCGAAUAUUGAUGUCAUUCUAUUCUCAAAUCAGUAGAUGCUGUGUCUUCAUUUCUAGUGCUGAUGUGAAAACACAUGGUCAGUUGUUGCUGCGUCAGAGAUAUGAGAAAUUCUUUUCUCUUAGGUGUGCAUCACUGAUAUACUUGUCCGUGAAAGGUGAAAGACACUGAAAUGUAAGAUGCGUGAGUAAAAUCUUGGUAGAGAGGCUCUUUGUGGUUGUUUUAUAUACUUGUAAGUGAUUUAUGAGAUAGGUGUUUAGAAUAAUACUCUUCUGUUAGGGUCACCCUGAUCAGACCGUUCCCUUCCCCUCCCACAGGACUUACAAUACGGUCCCUUGUGCUCUCUGCACAGCUACCCCAGGGCAAAAAACAAACCCCCCUUCACUGAUCCCUCCAGUAACUGUGCAGACAGUUACAGGAUGCGGUUAACAUGUCUGUUCACCUCGCAUAACAAAGCUGGCAAAAAACAUCUCCAGGAUGCAGACAAGACACCUGCACCCUCGACUAAGCUCCCCCACCCCAACCCAGUUCUCCUGCACCCCCAACUCAGCUCCCGCACCCCGACCUAGUUCUGGCCCUAUAAAAACCUGCUAUAGUCUGUAAGCAGGGCUGCCUCCUCUAACUGUGGUGGAGCAGCCAAGCAGCUCAAUAAAGCUUGCUUGCCUGA